UUGUCAUUCAGUGUUUGUCCACCGCAGACGGUAAUUAGCUUAGCGGCUCAGCCCUUCACGCUCAGCGCGAUAGCAUCAAUUGGUGACGAUGCGCCCUUAUCCAUUUUCCCGCCAUCAGCUGUCACGGUCCAUUUCCGCUGCACAAACGCCCGCGGAUGUUUUCCUGAUUAAAGCGGCAGAUAGAGCGCGUGUGGGCGGGAUGAGCCGAGUCAAGUGCAGCCUGUCACUAAGGAUGCGGGUCAACGUGCCUGUUCGAGUUAUUUCUCUGGAAUUUUUUUGGCAAGGGGAACGUCCUGCAUUACUUAAGCCAUCUGCUGUCCACCAGCUGAACAAUAACACACUCUGAGGACAUCGGACAGAUGUCUCUGAGGAUGAAGAAUACAUUUUAAAUAUCUUUUGGUGUCAGAAGAAGAUUCUUCCAUGUGAACUGAGAAGACUAUUGUGUCCACAUCUGCUUUUGAGC